UUCCGUAGGUGAACCUGCGGAAGGAUCAUUAAAUUCAGUAGCUUGCUACUGUUAGGGGGGUCUAUUAGUCUGUAUAGUAUCACUACUGAUGAGCAGCACGACCCUCUGUCUAUACCCUUGUCUUUUGCGCACUCAUGUUUCCUCGGCGGCUUUAUACCCGCCGGCUGGAUCAAUCUAUAACCUUUUUAAUUUUCAAUCAGCGUCUGAAAAACCUAAUAAUUACAACUUUCAACAACGGAUCUCUUGGUUCUGGCAUCGAUGAAGAACGCAGCGAAAUGCGAUAAGUAGUGUGAAUUGCAGAAUUCAGUGAAUCAUCGAAUCUUUGAACGCACAUUGCGCCCCUUGGUAUUCCAUGGGGCAUGCCUGUUCGAGCGUCAUUUGUACCCUCAAGCUCUGCUUGGUGUUGGGUGUUUGUCCACUAUCGUGGACUCGCCUUAAAGUCAUUGGCAGCCAGUGUUUUGGUAUUGAAGCGCAGCACAUUUUGCGCCUCUAGCCUAGAACACUAGCGUCCAGUAAGCCUUUUUCCACUUUUGACCUCGGAUCAGGUAGGGAUACCCGCUGAAC
rnacentral:rRNA from 1 species